CCGUCGGCACUCUCUCUCUCACGCCCUUUCAUCUCCACCAGGGCUCUCGAUCGCCAUCAUCGAACCACCGGCGUUGCGAGCUUUAUGACGAAACAAUGCCAUGAGCUUAUGGGGGGGAAAUAACUGGAAAGGGUUGAGAAUUCAAAGGUCCCCAGCCAAUUGGACAGUUGUGCUUCAUAAUUUUAUUUGCUGCGUAGAGGGAUGGGGUAGUCUAUGGCCACGAGGUCUUAAAUUCCUUUCUUUCCUCCUUGUCAUUAUCUUCAAGCUUGCAAAACAUGCUGGUUGACUCCCAUUUAAUGAUACUGUACCCUGAAGCUAGCCAUGUCGGCUUUGGUCUUUUUCUUGAAGAAUUGUUGGGAAACGGUUUUGGACUCGCCAUACUGAAGUGAUGUGCUUAGUUGAUUUACUCAAUGGAGCCAAGAGUCUCUGUAAAUCAGCUACUGUCGAACAAGGUAUAAUAAGCAGUGACCAAUGACCAAGGGAUUAUAGACUUCAGUUGUUUUCUUGUAUUGAAAGUAGGUUCUUUGUGUAUACCCUCUAUCUAUUAACUCAUGAGAUCUCAUAUUUUUUCAUCGAUUGGCAAUGGAUACAUCAUCUCGUGUCAACUCUGUAGGAUUUUUUAAUGGUGAUCUUUCUAUUCAGAAAGAACAUUGUAGAAUGAGGUACGGCCGAUGAAUGGACAGAGGAGCAAUGUGUUCAAACUGCUGAGACAGUUUGUUAUGAGAAUGUCAAGUAAGAUUCUGUACACUUCUAUGAUAUUUUACUUGGCAAUGGGUACCUAGUUAUUGUCAUGUUGCUGCUAUUGGGGUUUUUGGUGUGACAUCUAUCUUGUGUUAGCCGCGAAUGCCAUGAAGAUCCAACUUCUAAGGUCUUGCUGAAUUUUUUGGUCAUACUCAAAUAGUUCAUGUUGUGUUUGGUGGUGAUAUCAGACAGAUAUAUUUUGAUCAGAUGCUUAAAGAAUGGGUAUGUUUAAGGCAGUUACAUGAUGCCGGUUUAUAGCGGUUUUUGAUGUGACAUCUAUCUUGUGUUAGCUGUGAACGCCAUGAAGAUCCAACUUCUAUGGUCUUGUUGAAUUUUUGGUCAUACUCAAAUUAGUUCAUGUUGUGUUCGGCAGUGAUAUCAGAUAGAUAUAUUUUGAUCAGAUGCUUAAUGAAUGGGUAUGUUUAAGGCAGUUACAUGAUGCCGGUUUAUGGUGUUAUUACCCGUUAUCAUGGGCCGUGGCAUUGUUACUGCCAGCGUAACAUGUAUGUUUUACUUGUUAAACUUCUUUGAUGAACAGGGAAAUAUUGCAGUCUAUCUGCUGCAUGUACACACACAGAGCAUAGAGCCUGCGGGGGUAGCAAAACAGCCGCCCAGUUUGACUGGUUAUUCCUUCCAUAUAUGAGGGCUCUAAAUUCAACCUAGAGUCAAAAGGUACUGAGGGUGGCAGUUAACGACAGCUAUGCUUAAUUCUCUGAACUUCCUUGGACCUUGACCAGACCAUCCAGUAAGUAAAAUUCCAGAUCUCAUCUGAUACAGAAUGGCAAUCCAAAGUAGUCGAUGAGCAGGAUGAACAACCUCCCCUUCUUCCUGGUAUUAGUUCAAUCCCCUUGCCUGGGGUAGAGUUGUUAACUGGCAAUACUGACUUGAAGAUACAACUCUCACGUUUUUUCUUUUUUCUUUUUUUUUGAUAGGCUAUCUCAUGGUUUUUCUUCUGUCUAAUAAUCCUUGGUCUUCUAUUUACCUGACCUGAAAGGAGUUAUUGUGUUUGUUGGCCUUCUCUAAAAAGAGUUGUAGAUGAUGAUUGCUGCUGAUUUGGGGUGAAAGUUGUGCAGGAGACAAAGAGGCGACCUGGGGCGACCAAAUUGACUGCAAAAGCAGUUCUUGGAACUGCUACUACUGAUUCUGCUGGUUGUCACCGUGACUCUAUUCUCUCUUAGGCUUCUGUGAAAGCUGAACCAGCAACUUUUGAUACCAAGCAGUAGAGAUGGGGCCAUCAAGGUUUGGAAGUGAAGAACCUUGACUGGAACAACAGUCAGAUUCAAUCUAUUCGGGCUGGCAUUUUCCAGUUAUCUUGUUGACAAGUGCAUCCAGAAUGAAAAAGAAGAACGUAUUGAAUCAGGAAAUAUUAAAGCGUUGAACAAACCUGCUACAUGCCUCUGAAACAUAGGGUCGCCAAAUUUCUUCAUCCAGAUGAAGUCAUCAUACAUUGAGUGGUAGACGGGGUAACCUGCCAUUGAUGAUUUCAAUCAGGAAUGAAGGAUCCAGCAUGAGGCUAAAGGUACAGAGACUUGCUUAGGUGGUGGUUCUUAAGGAUGAACAGUUGCUUUUUCAGCUAUCUUUUAUAAGUUAGCAUGAGACUUGGAAAACUUGAUGAAUCCUUUAUUCAGAAGGGUUUAGUUACAUACUGUUAAAUUUUUUUUGUUUAUGUGAUGAUAAUUAUCUUAAUACGAGGACAUUCUGUUCCUGUCAAUAGCAUUACAUGUAGACCAGAUCUCUGAAUGUAUGUGUUUGUGCUCAUUAUACCAAAUGAAAGUCAAUGCCAGAAAGAUGCU